rnacentral:rRNA from 1 species
AUCAACGCUAAUCGGAUCAGGGUCAGUCGGGUCCUAAGGCUCAGCCGAACGGCGAGGCCGAUGGCAGAACCGGUUAAUAUUCCGGUACUACCCUUUGGGGUGACGUGGAGACGCAGUCGUGACAAUGCCGCCAGCUGACGGAAUAGCUGGUUAAAGGGUGUAGAAGUUGAUUGUGGCAGGCAAAUCCACCACAAGAUUCGAACCUGACAGUAUGGAGCGUCCUUCCGGACAAUCCAACAGUGCAUGUAAUCAUACUGCCAAGAAAAUCCGCUAAACAUAACCUUCAGGGUACCCGUACCGCAAACGGACACACGUAGUCGGGUUGAAUAUACUAAGGCGCUUGAGUGAUUCACGGUUAAGGAACUAGGCAAAUUAACCCUGUAACUUCGGGAAAAAGGGUCCCUACCCGUUAUCGGGAGGGCGCAGAGAAUCGGUCCAGGCAACUGUUUAACAAAAACACAGGGCUGUGCGAAGUCGAAAGACGCUGUAUACAGCCUGACACCUGCCCGGUGCUGGAAGGUUAAGAGGAGAUGUCAUCGCAAGAGAAGCAUUGAAUUGAAGCCCCAGUAAACGGCGGCCGUAACUAUAACGGUCCUAAGGUAGCGAAAUUCCUUGUCGGGUAAGUUCCGACCUGCACGAAUGGUGUAAUGAUCUGGACGCUGUCUCAACCGUGAGCUCAGUGAAAUUGUAGUAUCGGUGAAGAUGCCGAUUACCCGCGAUGGGACGAAAAGACCCCGUGAACCUUUACUAUAGCUUAUCAUUGAAUUUGGGCACGUGAUGUGUAGGAUAGGUCGGAGGCUUUGAAGCAGGCACGCCAGUGUUUGUGGAGCCGCUGUUGAAAUACGACCCUUCAUUUGUUUGAGUUCUAACUCGUAAUACGAGGACACUGAUUGGUGGGUAGUUUGACUGGGGUGGUCGCCUCCAAAAGUGUAACGGAGGCUUCUAAAGGUGCCCUCAGACCGAUUGGUAACCGGUCUCAGAGUGUAAUGGCAUAAGGGCGCUUGACUGGGAGACUAACAAGUCGAGCAGGUAGGAAACUAGAGCAUAGUGAUCCGGUGUUUCCGCAUGGAAGGGACAUCGCUCAAAGGAUAAAAGGUACUCCGGGGAUAACAGGCUGAUC